rnacentral:miRNA from 3 species
UUUAGUGCACAUAACUGGCUGA